AGAGUUUGAUCCUGGCUCAGGAUGAACGCUGGCGGCGUGCCUAAUACAUGCAAGUCGAGCGAACGGACGAGAAGCUUGCUUCUCUGAUGUUAGCGGCGGACGGGUGAGUAACACGUGGAUAACCUACCUAUAAGACUGGGAUAACUUCGGGAAACCGGAGCUAAUACCGGAUAAUAUUUUGAACCGCAUGGUUCAAAAGUGAAAGACGGUCUUGCUGUCACUUAUAGAUGGAUCCGCGCUGCAUUAGCUAGUUGGUAAGGUAACGGCUUACCAAGGCAACGAUGCAUAGCCGACCUGAGAGGGUGAUCGGCCACACUGGAACUGAGACACGGUCCAGACUCCUACGGGAGGCAGCAGUAGGGAAUCUUCCGCAAUGGGCGAAAGCCUGACGGAGCAACGCCGCGUGAGUGAUGAAGGUCUUCGGAUCGUAAAACUCUGUUAUUAGGGAAGAACAUAUGUGUAAGUAACUGUGCACAUCUUGACGGUACCUAAUCAGAAAGCCACGGCUAACUACGUGCCAGCAGCCGCGGUAAUACGUAGGUGGCAAGCGUUAUCCGGAAUUAUUGGGCGUAAAGCGCGCGUAGGCGGUUUUUUAAGUCUGAUGUGAAAGCCCACGGCUCAACCGUGGAGGGUCAUUGGAAACUGGAAAACUUGAGUGCAGAAGAGGAAAGUGGAAUUCCAUGUGUAGCGGUGAAAUGCGCAGAGAUAUGGAGGAACACCAGUGGCGAAGGCGACUUUCUGGUCUGUAACUGACGCUGAUGUGCGAAAGCGUGGGGAUCAAACAGGAUUAGAUACCCUGGUAGUCCACGCCGUAAACGAUGAGUGCUAAGUGUUAGGGGGUUUCCGCCCCUUAGUGCUGCAGCUAACGCAUUAAGCACUCCGCCUGGGGAGUACGACCGCAAGGUUGAAACUCAAAGGAAUUGACGGGGACCCGCACAAGCGGUGGAGCAUGUGGUUUAAUUCGAAGCAACGCGAAGAACCUUACCAAAUCUUGACAUCCUUUGACAACUCUAGAGAUAGAGCUUUCCCCUUCGGGGGACAAAGUGACAGGUGGUGCAUGGUUGUCGUCAGCUCGUGUCGUGAGAUGUUGGGUUAAGUCCCGCAACGAGCGCAAC
rnacentral:rRNA from 3 species